rnacentral:rRNA from 1 species
AUUGAACGCUGGCGGCAUGCUUUACACAUGCAAGUCGAACGGCAGCGCGGGCUUCGGCCUGGCGGCGAGUGGCGAACGGGUGAGUAAUACAUCGGAACGUGCCCAGUAAUGGGGGAUAGCUCGGCGAAAGCCGGAUUAAUACCGCAUACGACCUGAGGGUGAAAGCGGGGGAUCUUCGGACCUCGCGCUAUUGGAGCGGCCGAUGGCAGAUUAGCUAGUUGGUGGGGUAAAGGCCUACCAAGGCGACGAUCUGUAGCUGGUCUGAGAGGACGACCAGCCACACUGGGACUGAGACACGGCCCAGACUCCUACGGGAGGCAGCAGUGGGGAAUUUUGGACAAUGGGCGAAAGCCUGAUCCAGCAAUGCCGCGUGUGUGAUGAAGGCCUUCGGGUUGUAAAGCACUUUUGGCGGGAACGAAAAGGACUGUGCCAAUACCACGGUUCGAUGACGGUACCCGCAGAAUAAGCACCGGCUAACUACGUG